rnacentral:rRNA from 1 species
AUUGCCUCAGUAACGGCGAGUGAAGCGGCAACAGCUCAAAUUUGAAAUCUGGCUCUUUCAGGGUCCGAGUUGUAAUUUGUAGAAGAUGCUUCGGGUGUGGCUCCGGUCUAAGUUCCUUGGAACAGGACGUCAUAGAGGGUGAGAAUCCCGUAUGUGACUGGUUGCCUUCGCCCAUGUGAAGCUCUUUCGACGAGUCGAGUUGUUUGGGAAUGCAGCUCAAAAUGGGUGGUAAAUUUCAUCUAAAGCUAAAUAUUGGCCAGAGACCGAUAGCGCACAAGUAGAGUGAUCGAAAGAUGAAAAGCACUUUGGAAAGAGAGUUAAACAGUACGUGAAAUUGUUGAAAGGGAAGCGCUUGCAACCAGACUUGCACGCAGUUGAUCAUCCGGUGUUCUCACCGGUGCACUCUGCUGCGUUCAGGCCAGCAUCGGUUUUGGUGGUUGGAUAAAGGCCUUGGGAAUGUGGCUCCUCUCGGGGAGUGUUAUAGCCCUCGGUGCAAUGCAGCCUACUGGGACCGAGGACCGCGCUUCGGCUAGGAUGCUGGCGUAAUGGUUGUAAGCGACCCGUCUUGAAACACGGACCAAGGAGUCUAACAUCUAUGCGAGUGUUUGGGUGUCAAACCCAUACGCGUAAUGAAAGUGAACGGAGGUGAGAACCCUUAAGGGUGCAUCAUCGACCGAUCCUGAUGUCUUCGGAUGGAUUUGAGUAAGAGCAUAGCUGUUGGGACCCGAAAGAUGGUGAACUAUGCGUGAAUAGGGUGAAGCCAGAGGAAACUCUGGUGGAGGCUCGCAGCGGUUCUGACGUGCAAAUCGAUCGUCAAAUUUGCGCAUAGGGGCGAAAGACUAAUCGAACCAUCU